rnacentral:rRNA from 1 species
GACGAACGCUGGCGGCGUGCUUAACACAUGCAAGUCGAACGGUGAAGCGCCUUCCUUUUUGGUGGGUGUGGAUGAGUGGCAAACGGGUGAGUAACACGUGAGUAACCUGCCCCCUUCUUCUGGAUAACCGCAUGAAAGUGUGGCUAAUACGGGAUAUUCUGGGUCUGUCGCAUGAUGGGUCUGGGAAAGAUAUUGUUUCGGUGGGGGAUGGGCUCGCGGCCUAUCAGCUUGUUGGUGGGGUGAUGGCCUACCAAGGCGGUGACGGGUAGCCGGCCUGAGAGGGUGGACGGUCACACUGGGACUGAGACACGGCCCAGACUCCUACGGGAGGCAGCAGUGGGGAAUAUUGCACAAUGGGCGCAAGCCUGAUGCAGCGACGCCGCGUGAGGGAUGGAGGCCUUCGGGUUGUGAACCUCUUUCGCCAGUGAAGCAGGCCUGCCUCGUUUGUGGGUGGGUUGACGGUAGCUGGAUAAGAAGCGCCGGCUAACUACGUG